GUAGGCGUGCGGGAGCCGGGGCCGGUGGGACUGGGACCUGCUCUCAGCCGCCGGUCCCCGCGUACGGGGAAGCCCCGCCGUCGCCGAGUCCGCCCGAGUGCGUCCCCGUCCCGGGCGCGCUCCGCGCUUCCCGGGGAAACUUGGCGCCAGAGUGCGGGGCGCCCCGGAACGCGAGCAGGGAGGGGGCGGCCCCUGCUCCCUGCUUUGCGGGGUCUCGGAGGAGAGAAAGAAAGGGUAGAUUCCUCGGGGAAGGAUGGAGGGCGGGAGGGGAAUCUGGGCAGCGCCCCCCCCCCCCAGCCUCCCCUCAGAUCUGGCGGCGGAAUCCGCUCCCCCUCCCGGAAUCUCCGCGGCAGGAACGCGGCCCGCAGGGAGGGGAGGCGGGCGCGCGGCCAGGCCGAGGAAUCUUCGACGUGUCACUUUCGGGGCUGGAGCUUUCCUUGUGGCGGCGGGAGGAGGGCGUGCGUGCGAAGUGCGGCUGCAAGUUGGGGCGGCCUCUGCGCCCCGGGUGAGGGUCGGGGGCUCUGGGCUGGGGUGCCGCCGAGAGUCCCCCGUUCCCUGGCCCUGCCCGGACACUCCCCGCCGGCCGCUGGCCACCUCCCGCGCGCCACGUCCUCCCUCCCCGUCCUGCCCCCCGCCCCCCCCCCCCGGGCUGGGGGCGGGAACCGGCGGCCGCGGCCGGACUUGGCGAGCCUGGCGGCUGUGCACGGGCGCGGCGGGAAGGAGCGGGCGAGCCGGUGUGCGGCCAGCGGAGUCCGGUUGAAGGAUCCUUUGGAGUCUUAGAAUUUUUGGCAGUACCUUGAAGGGAUGGAAACUGUUCAUCUGGAGUUGGACUUGAGGAUGAACCAGGAGGCCCGGUGCUCAGCUGUAAUUUGAUGGUGGGACACUUCCAGGCCUGCUAUGCUUUCAGGGUUGAUAUUUGCUUAGUGAAAACUUGUUGAUCCCCAGAGAGGGCAUAGACUGACUCCCCUGUUUCUGUUUAGUAAGGUUCCUCAUCAGUUACACAUAAAGUCUUUGCACAAUUUAAAUUCCCUGAAUCCAGCUGUUAGGUUCUCUGAAGAACCUAACUCGUUUUCCUGAUGAUAACUUACUUGGGAAUUUACAUGAGUUAAGAACUUCAGCUGCUUCAGUUGUUUCUCAGUAUUUAGAAAUAGUUAAUGCUUUUUUGAAAGUUGAUUGACCACCAGGGUAUCAUGUUAGCCUAAAAACUGAUAUAUAUAUAUAUAUAUAUAGAGAGAGAGAGAGAGAGAGAGAGAGAGAGAGAGGGAGAGGGAGAGGGAGGGAGGGGCAGAGAACUUUUGGUUUUUUUUGGCGCAGCACUGGGGAUUGAACACAGGGCCUUUGCACUGAGUUACAUCCUAAGUCUUUUUAAUUUUUUUUCUUUGAAACAGGGCCCAGAUGGGGGUCAAACUUGCAUUGCUCUUGCCUCAGGCCCAAAGUGUGCUGGGAUUACAGGCGUACUACCAUGUCUGGCUUGAAAGUUGUGAUUUAUUAACUCUGUUUUCCCUAAGAUUUAUCUAUCAUUUCAGUUCUUUUCUCCCUCUACUCCUUUUGGGAUUGGUUCAGAGACAUUGAUCUUUACUAGUGGUUUUCAGUUAUGCAGAGUAAGAGUUAGGGUCUGGAUUCUCCUGUCUAGCAAGAUCUAGAGAUUUGUUUCUGUCUUCCUCCAUCUCCCUAAUCAUGACUAUUUUCUCCAUUAGUCAGAAAUACAAUGCUGGGCUGGGGAUUUAGCUCAGUGGUUCUGCCACCUGCCUUGCAAGCACAAGGACCCGAGUUGGAUCCCCAGUACCAAAACACAAAAUAAAACAAAACAAAAAAAAUAAUGUUGCUUUAUGUGAUAUUUCUCUCAUUUCUGAUCUCUAUUUUGUUUUUUCUUGACAUUGUGCAAGAAUUAUUGACACAGAUCUGGAAUUUUGACAUUGGGGUCAUUGUGCACUGAGAUUUUCUGUAUUUGUGCUUUAUAUGUACAGGGACUCCAUUUUGAAAUUUCUUUCUUGAUACUGGGGAUUGAACGUGGGACAUUGUGCAUAUGAAACUCAUGCUCUAUCACUCCCUGCCAGCUUCUCUACUGUGAGUUUUAUGUUUAGUAGGUCAAAAUAUAUAUUUUUUAAGUAGGUUAAAAUCUUAAGGUCCGAGCUGAGUGUGGUGGUGCAUGUUUGCAAUCCUAGUACUUGGGAGGCUGAGGCAGGUGAAUUGCAAAGUUUGAGGGCAGCCUGGGCUACAUAGUGAGAUGCUGUCUUCAAAAACAAAGAACAAACAAACAAGGUCUUAAACAAGGUCUUUAAGGUCUUAGUCCAUACAGGUAUUUCAAAAUAUAGUGUUGACCUGAUAUAUGUUAUGUUCUUUUUCCUUAGAUCCUAAUAUACUGAAUAUAUUUUUGAAUGCUGAAAAAAAUUGUGAACAGUAUUGUCAAUUAGAAGACUGAGUGUUGGUAAAGGCAGUAAUAAGUGGCAGAUUUUAUAUCCGUACCUAUUUGUCAUUAGUCAUGCUUUUUGUUAUUCCUCGGAACAAUUAGAUUAGUGCCUUAAGCUUUUAGUUUAAGAAAUGUGCUUUAAAGUGUAAGAUAGUUAAUGCUUACCUAAUUGGCUCAGAAGAGCUUUUAUUGUUCUUAAGGAAAUAAUUUCCUCUUGUUUCAUAUUAUCCAGCACAGUGGCUGAGUGAAAUUGUUAACUUGAAACACAUUUGUUUUCUUCUAUGGAUGUGGAUAUUCCCAGAGUGCAUUUGACACUUUGAUAUCAGUUGCACGCGAUAUGUUGAGAUGCAAGUCAGGGUAACCUAUUAUACUUAAAAUAAAAAUAAUUCAAAGACAUGAAAUUAUAAAAUUUCAGGAAGUAAGGAAAUAGUGUUUUGGCAUUUGAGGUCUUUUAUACAUGGAAAUUAUUUCUUGUAUCAGUUUUAUAAAUUAGUAUGGGAGUCUGACCAAUAUGUACUUUUUUCUUUGGUAAAUACAUCAUCUCUUGCUUUAUUCCUGCCUUUAUUCUUGCCUGCCCUAUUCAUUUACUUUCUAUGGAUAAAUAAUAUUCCUUGUUAUUUGCAAGGCUGAUGUAACAACACAGCUGUUGAAUGCUUGGCAUUUCUGCUUCUGGUGAAAUGCUGUUUGUGCAGAUUUAUCUGAUCCAGAUGUGUGACCAGCAAGCUACAUUUCUAAUUAUAAAGACAGCCAAAUUCCAUUAUAAGAACAUCAUGGGAUUACAGGACCGGGAAACAUCCUGAAAGGACAUCUAGUUCAUUCUCCAGCUUCUCAGCAGGACCACACUUCAUAAACCACUCCAGCACUGAACGAAGCAGCAGAGAAUGUUCCACCCAUGUAUAGGCUGAAUGUAGAGUCAUUGGAAUUAUAACUGGAAAAAGAAAUGAGUUCCCCUUGUCUGGUCUUAUUGCUUUAUCUAUAAACAGAAUCAGGUCCAGAAAAAUUUGACUUAUUCUGGACUUUCAGGACUCUGCCUAGAACUUCCUGUCCUUUCUUCUGAAGUGUUCUCUGCUAAGGGAGAAGAGGGUGGAAGGCUUUAAAAUGCCCAUUUCACAUCCAGGAUGUAGCUCUCUGGUUACUCAUUUAGAAGUAGGUGAUAAAUUAGUGACAGCUAGAUUCUAUUGAAGUAUAUUAACUCUUUUUGAAACCUAACAUGAAGUGAGAUAUUUUAUUAUGUUAUGUGUGUAGAUGUUGUUGUGCUUUAAUGAUAAAAUACAGAAGAAAUUAGGUGUGCAAUUAGAGCUAGAAAGUUUACAAAUGUAGUACAUAGGCCCAAAGAUCAACAUCUCUGAAUAAAUAUGAGGUCCUUUAACUUGGCUUGAGGUUGUUGAGUCUGGGGUUCCAUUUUAUCCUACAAGUGAAUAGGUAGCCUGUUACUGUUUCAUGGAUGCUGGCAGAAGUUAAGGGACUCCUGUACCACACACAAAGGACUUUAUUACUCCUGGCAUACCACACAUAGCAUAAACAUCGCCAUAUGUGUAUUAGUUUGUCCUUGCCCCAAAUUGUAUGGGAUGAUACAAUGUCCAGAUGGAACUGUAUACAGAGUGGAUUUGUGUUGCUGUCAAGGAACACUAACCUUGGGGAAUCCUCCGUGUUUACAACAUACAGUAGGUGAACUUGCUCUUGCCUCCAAGGGGAGAUAUUCAUCAAGGUUAUUCACUGUGAAUAAAACCUUGACAAAUGGCUCUGAUGCAAAAUGGUCAGGGCUUUGCAUUUAAAGUAUACUUGGCAGGACAUGUGGAAGCAAGAGAGCCCUGUGGGGAGGAUCUCACAACACUAAUGUCCUGUGAUUUCUGUCCAAUUAUGUACUACACCAAAGAGAUAAUCAAAUAAAACAUAGUACUAGCAACUUGAUAGAGUAAAAAGAUCGGGUAGUUGUUAGGAAGUGAAAUACUUACUGGAAAAUGUUAAAAUGCUGGAUAAUCAGAAUGAAAAUGGGAGGAAAACACGAAAGAUUUAAUUUGACUUCUUAUAUAAAUUGACAUUAAAAAUUACCAUGACUUCAAGAUGUGUUCAUAUCAUACUAAAAAAUUAAUACAUCCUUGAGGGCUGGGGAUUUAGCUCAUUGGCACUGCACCCACCUCGUAAGUGCAAGGUCCUGAGUUCAAUCCCUGGUACUGGAAAAAGAAAAAACAAAAAACUUAACACUUCCUAAAAAAAAAUUAGGGAUUACAAAUCUUGUUUUCAUACUGAUAAAUCCACGUAUCCUUUUGUAAAGAGAAAAUAUAGUAUCCAUAUGGACUCAGGCAUAGGUUUAGCUCUGUUACUUCUCUACUAUUGUGGCCUUUCCCCCUGAUUAUGAGUUAUUCAUGUUCUUUGUAAAAAAAAAAAAUUUCACACUGCAGAGAAGUGGAGAAAGUGAAUGCCUCUCUUUGCCACUACAUUAUGCUUCCCAGGUUCAUGGAGGUGUCACGGUGUUGUAGCCUUGGGUCAGUCAACACCAAAAUGGAGAGGAAGUGCCAGUGAUUUUAGUGGCCACUUCUUGUUUUUGAAGGACCAUGUCUUAGUUACUUUUCAUUGCUGGGACAAAACACCUGAUACUUGCAAGCUAAAGAAAGAAAGGUUUAUUUUAGCUCGCAGUUUAUAGGGAUUUCAGUCCAUAGUUGACUGACUUCAAGUCAGGGUGGUAUGGCAGAGGAGGAACAGUCCAUGGCAGGGCAGACAGGAAGCAGUGAGCAACAGCCUUCUUUUCCCUUUUUAUUUUAUUUCAUUCAGGCUACCAGCUGAUUGGUUGAUGCUACCCACACCCAGGGUGGGCCUUCCCUUAUCCACACCCAGAACUAUGCUAAACCAAUCAGAGGACUAAUCCAGUUACCACACACUCAUAACCUAGUAUCCCACACCCAUGAUCCAGCUGCCUCCCCAAAGUCCCACUUAUGAGCUCAUGAAGCCUUGUGGGGACAUCUAAAUGUAAGCUAUCACAAACCAGGUUCUAGUAAGUGCUUUGGGUGUUAAGAAGAAUGCUGAAUGUCUAGAAAGAUUUAUGAGGCAGUAUUAUGAUUUUAUGAGUAAAAUAAUAACAUUAUGAUGUUAUGUUCACUUUUCUCAAGUAUUGGCUAAUGGUUUUCUUAAUAAUAGUGGGAGUUAUGUAGGAGGCCAGGCAGCAGUAUAUUUUAUGGAUAAAGAAACUGAGGCAUACACAACUUAAUUUGUCCAGCUAUAUGAUUUAUUAGCCAUGUGAGCCUUAUUAUCUUUUUAGAAAACAUUCUGCCCAAUUAAAACUCCUUGUAAGAUAGGAAACUAUAUACUCCAGAUUCUAGUUACUAAUUGUUUUUUUAAUUGUAUGUAUUACCUUCUUGUACACUGUGUAGUUUACUUAGUUACUGUCUUCAUUGUUUAUUUCCCCUUCCUUGAAUGUACGCUCCAUGAGAACAGGGAAUUUUGUCCUUUUUUCAGUGUUUGCAACAGCAUCUAACCAGAGUAGGAGCUCCAUAGUGAAUCUGGUGAUUAAAUGAAUCAACGUGUUCUAGGUACAUGGUUCUAGAAGAGGAGACUUGGCUCUUAGGUCAUAUGUACAGCUUUGGGCGCUGGUUGGGCAUCUUUGAAUAACACAUUGAUUACCUUUCCUAAUUCUAUGAGAUUGAAUUUAUAAAUUGGGGCUAGGGAAUGUGGGAAUGUGGCCUACAGAUUUGCUUUUUAUUUUUGGCUUUGUUCAGUGUAUUUGAAAAUUUGGGAGCAACAUUUAAGAAUUAAGAGAAUUCACAUAAAAUAAUAUUUCUAGUUUCACUCAAAAAGUUGAAAAACUUGGCCACAUGGCCCACAUUCCAUCGUGCUAGUGAAGAUCUAAGGCUGAGUAGCUGCUCUCUAUUUAGGAGAGACCUUUACUUUCUAGUUUGUCCUGGUCCCCGCCUCUGUUGCCUACUUGAUACUGAAAUGUCAAGUUGUUUUUUUGCCACCAUGCGUGUGGUUGAACUUAAACUUUUUAAAUAUGUAGAAAUAUUUCUUUGUAGCUGUGUUUUUGAAAAGAGAGGCAAAAAAGGUAAGGUUGACCUUUUUGCUCAUUGACAUUAUGUAUUUUGUUGUCUCUUGUAGGCAUUUGAACAUUGCAGGCACUUGAUAUGUGCCUGUCUUAGGUAACUAAGACCUCUCCAUCUUUUAGUUUAGACUUUCUGAGAUUAUAGUUAUGAUUACUAAUUGUAUGAAAAAGUGUAGAGAUAGUAUCUGAUAGGAAUUAACCUCAGUGCUUUGACUGUGGAAGUGGAAGGAUGGGAUAUGAGUCUGGGGGAAGUGCUUUCACUGAACCAUUACUGAACUGUGGAUUAUGAUGUUGAAAGUACAUGUCCACUUCGCUUGGUGCUCAGGUACAGCAUUAGAAGGGUCCUAAAGGUAAAUAUUCACGAUUAUAGAAUUUAUUUUUCUAUUUGUCAUAUAGCAGAAACUGCACAAGACUUGGAAAACCUUGGGAAAAGUGAUAACUUCAUCCAGAAGAUUUGUUGUUGCCUUAAAGACUUAAGCAGUUGAGCUCUGGAUCCCUUUUAAUAUAAAGAACAAAUGGUAUCUGAUUCCUAGGGUAACUUAGACAACUGGGCAAUUUUAAACCAUAGUUACUGUGGAAAUGUGGCUCAUAUUUUGAUAUUAUAUGGAUGAAUAUUAUACAAUCAGUUCUUUACACUCAUAAGUUGCUUAUUUGUUAAUGGCUUAACCAGUAGGUCCAAUUUUAAUUGACUCUUCCUGGAAAUUGGGCUAAGUACUUGAAGGCACUAUGUAAGUAAAAUGCUAAUAAUGUUUUAUAUUAUCCUAUAAUCUCUAUAAAAUUAGGAUUUCACUUAAUUUCAUUAGAAUUUGAAAGAAUAAACUGUUAGAUCUAUGUUACACAAAGAGUAUUCUCUGGUGAACACUAACUCUUGAGAAAAAUUAUUAUGUUCAACAAAGUUAGGUCUUCAAAGUUCAGUGUUAAAGAACCACCAACAGUCUAGCCCAGAGUUUCUCAACUUUACUGGAUAGUAGAAUUUGUUUUUUGCAUAGGAUGUAUAUAAUAUGUAGAAUAUUUGUCCCUUGGCACAUAUUUCAGAAAUUCUCACCUGGACAGAUUCAGGAAACAAACAUACUACAUAUAGUGGAUUCCUAUCUCCAUAUUGUUUCUUUUCCUUACUUUUGUCUGUGUUUAUAGUUACAUUUCUUCCAGGCCACUCCCAGAGGUGUGAGUUAAUGACAUGAUUAAAACAGUAUAGAAUCCACACAGAAUGGAGAGGAUCACUGUGAGUCUCCUUUUUCUGUUGAGAAAAUAAUAUUUAUGUUGAAAGAACUUGAUUUUUCUAUUUUUAGGUAAUGAACUUCUAGCUAAGGCAGUCAUCUUUUUUUUUUUUUUACCUUUAUCAUAAAUCACUGUUGUAGUUAUUGCCAUCUCUUCUGCUUUUGAUCUCUGGAGACUUGCUGUUGUUCAUAUAGAUGCUGUACUUUCUGGAUUUGGGACUUGGUACCUAGAAGCUGAUAUAAUAGGUAAAGAGAAUGGGAUAAAAUUUUGGAAUCUGAUAUGUAAGAGUGAGUGUAUUCAAGUGUAGGUAUUGUAAAGAGCUUAUACCUUGCUUACAUGGAAAAAUAAACUUUAUAAACUUAGUGGGUGUUCAGGAAUUUGAAGUGAUUUGAGAAGAGACCCUGUCUUGCUUGCCAUUGGGCAGUGGUGUAAUGUUUGAAAAAUACAGGAUGGAAUAGAUAGAUAAUCUUGAGUGCUGCUGAUUAAAACAAUUUAAAAAAUUCAUUGGAAACUUUAAGUGCUGAGAUUGCAUUUUUCAAAUUAGUAAAGACUGUAAUAUGCUAGAAGGAAAAUUACAUCCUCAUGGUGGAACAUUUAAUGCUGAUAUAAAAUUAUGAUUUGGAAUCUUUGGUAUUUGCGGGGGCUUCAGAAUUAAGUUGCUCUCCAUUUGUGAUCUUCUUAGUAUAACAUGAAGAUAGCAGGAAAAUUUGAGAGCCCUAGCCCUAGAUCUUAAAAUAAUUAGAGAUCUGCAGCUGGAUAUAAUCCACAUUAGUGAGAAAUGAUAGUGUGGUAUAACCUCUUUGCUUAUGGAUCUUGAAGCUUAGCAUUCAUCACCUGAGCCAUUCAUUUGUUUCAGAGUAAGUAAUGAGAAGCUUAGAACCAGGAAAUUGCUUGCCACAUCUUGUUCCUGGAAAAGCUGGCAGUCUAAAAAUACUUAUCAUGCAAGGUGAGACUUGAGUGAGUGUUGUACGGCGAUUGUAAUUUCUCUUUAAUAAUGUGUAGCUCAGCAAGGUACUUUCUAGGGAAAAUUUCUUCUAACUCAGCCUUUAUUUGUAACUCCAAUCUCAAAUUAGCAAAUAAUCCAAAUGGGGAUCACAGAGUUUUAAACUGGGAGGGAAUUUGCAGAUAGUCUAGUUCAGAUACUUCAUGUUGCAGAUGAAAGUAGACUCUGAGAGCUCAAGUCACAUAGCUGAUAUCAGUAACAGAAAUGAACCAAAGUUUGGAUGCCACCCAGGUCCUUUUUUGUAGUGUCAUGUAGAUUUCAGUCUGUCCAGUGACAGAAUUCCUUGAGAACUAUUUUAAAAACUGACGUUUUUAUUCAUCCAGUUAAACAAAUCUGGGGCUUCACAAGUAUAUUUUGUAUAUUUUGGAAUGUAAUUGAUUAUUUAAAGCCACUUUUCAAAUAAAUUCUACAAAAGGUAGCCGUUGUGAUGGUGUGAUCUCAUUGUGUUGAUGUUAUUCUCCUAUGAUAUGUGUGAUAUUUAAAGCAAUCAGCUUGUACAAAAGGUAUAAAAAAGUCUUUUCACUCAUUUAUUCAACUGAAAGACUUUAAAAUUAAUAGACAGUGGCCAAAUAAUAUUCAGGUUUCUCUUUUCAGUGACAGGGAAAUUAACUUUCUUACAGCAUAGAACAGGCAUUGAGAGAGACCUGACUCGUCAUGGUGCUGAAUUUCACAAAAUCAGUUUUGAAUCAAUAGGACUUUCAGUGUUUUGUUAGUUUUUAAAACUCACAAUGAGCAACCAAUACCCAUAGGACUUUGCAUAAAAAAAUUAGUUCAGAAAAAUUAUUCUUUUUGCCAGGCAUUGGUGAUGCAUGUCUGUAAUCCCAGCACUUGAGAGGCUGAGGCAGGAGAGUCAGAGCACGCUGGAGGCCAGCCUAGGCUACAUAAUGAGUUCAAGACCAGCUUGAACUACACAGCAAGAUCCUGUCUCAAGAAAACAAAACAACAACAAAAAAGUUUUACUAAUUCUGGUUUCCAAAUUAAAUAUUUGGAUCAAGAUCGCCUAUUUUGAAAGUACAAUGUAAGAUUAGGGGGAAUAUGUUUUACCACAAUUUUCUUAAACCCUGGAAAAACCCAAUAAGAACUCAUUGGGAAUGAGGAAACUUCCUUAGUGACUAUUGGAGAUGGAUGCAGUGCAGCACAGCUGUCUGCAGAGGUUUGGAGGAAUUCCCAGGAUGGUCAGUAGUGAGUCAUUGGAGGAUUGAGGGGGGCAACACAUAACACAGGCAAGCUGGAUAUCAGUUUUAUUACGCCCUCAGCAGUACGAAGACUUUAAAUAGUAAUUUAAGUCGUGGAGCUAUCUUCUUCCUAUUUUUUGGUACCAGGAAUCGAACUCGGGACCUUGUGCUUGCAGUGCAGGCUGCAGCACCACUGAGCUAAAUCCCUGGCCCUCUGCUGGUAUUCUUGAUCGACACAGAGAAUGCUUGAUCGUGAAGGUCCUUGGUCCUUUUUCUAACCAGCAGAUAGCAAAUACAUGACAUAGAUCUCCUUGCCUUUAAUCUCACAACCUCGGCAGGCAUCUCUGAUAACCACUGAACUGGAACAGUUAAUCUUUCUCAAAACUGCACUCCAGGCAAGCACCCAGACAAGCACCCAAUUGAUUGGCACAGACAUGUAAGGAAAAGCCCAUGGCUGUCACCAAACAAAGCCUGUUAGGGAGCUGGACAAGGAUGUGCACUUAGGAACUACAGAAAUAGUUUCUGGUAGUAUCACAAUGACCCAAGUUUCUUGAUUUUUCCAGUGUAGUAUUCUUUCACUUUGCUCAUAUAGCAGGAUGGAUUUGUGAAAGUGAGCUGAAAUGACACCCUUACUUAGAGUUCCACUUAGAGGGAGUAAAUCAUUCUUCACUUGGUAUGGUAGGAUCCAGUUAUGGAAGAUCAUAUAACUAAUCUAACUUUUCACAGUAAUCUCUUCUUUGCCUAUAAAGAGUUAGAGAAAUAAAUUAGCAUAGUAGAGCUGGGGUUGGGAAAGUGGGGAAAAGGGAGUAGUACAUAAUGGAACUUUUCUGAAGUACUUGGAAUUUUAAAAAGGAGUAAUUACAGAUACAAGAGUGUCUUGCAAUACUGUUGAAAGUUUUCCCAGAAUUUAAAUUUGUUAUUGUAGAUGUUCUUUAUGUAUUUAGAUGAGCCUUUAUUCAAUUAAUUUGAAUUAUGAAUAUUACUCCACCUAUAUAAUUUUAAAAUGUGAAAAGGGGUAGUACAGAUAGAUAUUUCCCUUUAAUUUGCAGACAUUUGAAAAAAUUUUAUGGAUUCAGCAUACCCAGUCUGGAAAUUAAAAAUGCCCUGAAAUCUGCAACUUUUUGAGUACUGACAUUAUACUCAAAAUUUUAUGAUUUUAGAGCAUUUCUGAUUUCAUAUUUUUCAGAUUAGGGAUUUCGAUUGGUAAAAUCUAUGUGAGUAUUUCAAAAUCUGAAAAACCCCUAAUUCUGAAACCCUUUUGUUCCCAAGCAUUUUGGAUAAGGGAGUCUCAACCUGAAUUAGAAAUUACAGAAGUCAGUACUAGGAAAAAAAUUUACAGAACUCAGAUUUCUUUCUUUUUUUCUUUUUUGGUAUUGAGGAUCGAACUUGGGACCUUGGGCUUGUGAGGCAGGCUCUGGAACCACUGAGCUAAAUCCCCAGCCCUGAUUUCUUAAUAAAUUAAGAAAUGGCAUUGUAGUACCAAGCACUGUAUAUUUUCCUAGUUUUCUAAACAAUGUGUAUAUUUUUCAUGUGUAUGCAUAUGUGCAUUGGUGUGUAUUUGUUUUAGAGUAUCUGAAUUUCAACUUUAUGAAAUAACCUUGUAACUCUAGUCCCAGAAAUAUAUGGACUAGUAUUUGUAUCUCAGGUUUGAUACCAAAAUUAUCAGCUUCUUCAAAAAGUUUGCUUUUAUUAGUAGGAAAUACCAUGUAAUGCACAUGUUCCUUUCAAAUUUGUAUUUAUAGGUCUUGACAAGAUAGGUCAUUAAAAAGCAAUUUUCAAAAUUGUGUAGCUUGAGGUCAUAUUCCUUGGAUUGCCUUGACUUUUUAGUGACCUUGUGUUUA
rnacentral:lncRNA from 1 species